rnacentral:tRNA from 1 species
GGGCUAUUAGCUCAGCUUGGUUAGAGCGCUGUCCUGAUAAGACAGAGGUCGCUGGUUCAAAUCCAGCAUAGCCCA